rnacentral:rRNA from 1 species
AGUGAACGCUGGCGGCAGGCCUAACACAUGCAAGUCGAACGGCAGCACAGCAUUAGCAAUACUGUGGGUGGCGAGUGGCGGACGGGUGAGGAAUACAUCGGAAUCUGCCUAGUCGUGGGGGAUAACGUAGGGAAACUUACGCUAAUACCGCAUACGACCUACGGGUGAAAGCGGGGGAUCGCAAGACCUCGCGCGAUUAGAUGAGCCGAUGUCCGAUUAGCUAGUUGGCGGGGUAAUGGCCCACCAAGGCGACGAUCGGUAGCUGGUCUGAGAGGAUGAUCAGCCACACUGGAACUGAGACACGGUCCAGACUCCUACGGGAGGCAGCAGUGGGGAAUAUUGGACAAUGGGCGCAAGCCUGAUCCAGCCAUGCCGCGUGGGUGAAGAAGGCCUC